rnacentral:rRNA from 1 species
GCUUACACAUGCAAGUCGAACGCGAAAGCGCCUUUCGGGGCGCGAGUAGAGUGGCGCACGGGUGAGUAACACGUAGACAACCUGCCUUCCAGUCUGGGACAACCCUUUGAAAGAGGGGCUAAUACCGGAUAACACAGGCUCCCGCAUGGGAGCCCGUUGAAAGGCUUGCUGCUGGGAGAGGGGUCUGCGGGACAUUAGCUAGUUGGUGAGGUAACGGCUCACCAAGGCAGUGAUGUCUAGCGGGUCUGAGAGGAUGAUCCGCCACACUGGAACUGAGACACGGUCCAGACUCCUACGGGAGGCAGCAGUGUGGAAUUUUGCGCAAUGGGCGAAAGCCUGACGAAGCAACGCCGCGUGAGUGAAGAAGGCCUUUGGGUCGUAAAGCUCUUUUCUGAGGGAAGAGGAUGACGGUACUUCAGGAAUAAGCACCGGCUAACUCCGUGCCAGCAGCCGCGGUAACUACGGAGGGUGCAAGCGUUGUUCGGAUUCACUGGGCGUAAAGGGCGUGUAGGCGGGAAUGCAAGCUGGAGGUGAAAGCCCCGGGCUCAACUCGGGAAUUGCUUCCAGAACUGCAUUUCUAGAGAGAGUCAGAGGCAGGUG